UGCCUGCUUUCGUAUUCUACAAACCCGAGGUUCUAGAAGGCCGAUCACAGAAUAGUUCGCCGCAAGAUGCAGGGAGGAAAAAAACGCUCUGAAGUGUUCGACGGCAUCGUGUUGUGCCAGGACGAGUUGGUCUCUUUUUGAAGAAAACAUCUGCAUGUUCCGAUUCGACCAAGACUUGUGUCCGGUAACUUUGAAACGGCCUACAAAAAUUGAGACGGUCUCGGUGAAGUAACAUAAAAUUAUUCUGAUCGAAUGAAGUUUCAUGCGAAAGGAAUCAUUUCGUGACCACUGCAGAAAAUAAUCCGGCAAUCGCAGUUUGAUGGUAAACAUUCCUAACGAAACUUAUUUUGAUUCUGGCUGUAGAUGAAGCAGUUAGACUGUGUAAACAACAUUCCAAUUCGUGAUGUUCAGAAUUUUCCAGGAUAUGAAAUGGAUAGCAGCGGUUUCAAAGUUCCUCCGAAUGCUGAAGCCUUCCGUAACGCUCUGUUUAACAUCACUCCAGUGAAGGUAAUCCGGAGGCGAACCCUGCAGGAAAAUUGCCCAAUAUCAACUCGUCCAAUCUGCGGAAAGUUCUGCCGUAGACUACGGACCACAAGGAUAAUCCAACACCCGACGAUGCCGACGAUGACAAAAACGU